CCCCAAAGGACGCUCGUCUCUACACUUCCCUACACUCCAUGCCUUCCUUAGUCACGGGCCGUCUCGGGGUGCAGUCGAUUGGCUGCCAGGCUGCGGCACAGGACUGGGUGGAGAUGCUCCUCGGGAAGCCCAGAACUUUUCCCUCUAACUGGGACCUGCCAACUCCCAACUCCCCUCUGCCACCUUCUUCCCUGUACUGAAAAUGCCUCUCUGGACCAAGCGACUGCCUUUUUCCUCUCCAGUUACUAACAAGAGGACUUGGGCCCAAGGCGUGCAGGAAGCUGGGAGCUUCGCCACAAAGGCUGUGGGGUCAGGAGGAGGCAGACGAGGCUGGAGGAGCCGGGAAAACCCAUGCCUGGUGUCCCCCGGGGGCACUUCCAGACGUGCAGUCAGAUGAGGACACCCAAAGAAGACCCAGCAGGAGAGCGGGGAAGUGGCUCAGCCACACCAGGGAUGAGAGGAGCUGAUGGCUUCACCCACUGGCUCAGGUGAUCCGCAGACAGGGUGGGGAGCAAAGGAACCAAGAGCCAGCCUUCCUGCGGGCGGCAGGAGUCGGGCAGGUAUCAGGGGCUGGGAUUCUGCCAGAGCGAGUCUCAGGGUAAAUGGGAGCUCCAGGCAGGAGGGACGCAAUCUCGAGAGGCGGGGACACAGAAUUGGAGAGCUGGCAAAGUAUGAUUCAGGAGAGGGCCAUGGCAGGCCGUCCUACUGUCUCUAAGGGCUCCAGCCCACUAGGGGAGGGUUGUGCUUCCCUGUCCCCUUGCCACCAGGCCCACCUGCCCCAGGGAUGAGAGCAGAAGUGACACAUGUCCCUUCCCUGAGAGAAAAGGUUCAGAUGGAGGCAGCACCCUCAGCCUGGGUCCUGGACAGCAAGUCACGCAGCCCCCAGGACAGGCAGCUAGUGUGAGCACCAGGACAGCAUUAGGGGGUUUGUGGGACUGGAUACUGCGCAUGCCCACGCUAACCUCACGGAUACAGAGCGGGAAUGAUAGAGAAAUGGACGAAGGGAGCCGAGCUGGGCAACCAGAUGGUCCAGGAGGGCAGCACCAGGUGUGAGAGACGGUGCUGGGUCCUUGAGCAAGAAAACAAGACCAAAGCUGGAGAGACGGCUGUGCGGGUCUGCGACACACACCCUGCGGUUGCGCGAGGGUGGUUCAAAGGGCAGCUUCCUGCAGGCGCCAUGGUGCAUGUCGCUGACUGAGUGAAAUCGAGGGGAGUUGCGCAGGAUAAAGACAAGUGCCUGAGAUUCCAGGUUACUGGGGGAUGCCAUCCAAGCCUGUGCCGCCGUGUCUGAGGAGGGUCACGGCUACUGGGGUGGGACAGAGGCUGCGAUUUCCUAAUGGAGGAGAGGGGAAGAGGUGGGAAGAGCUGCAAGCAAAGAGGAGGCAGCAGUGUCCAGGGCAGGAGGGGGCAGCCGGGGGUGGCGCCAGGGAGCUAAGACAGUGCAGGCUAGCAGGGGUCCAACCAAAGGUCCUCACGGGGCGGAGACAGACAGCAUUGCCAGAGCAGAAUCCCGCUUCCAACGAGAGGGAGAAUCACUUCAAAAAUGUACCAGAGCCCCGAGGGAGUCUGCUGGCCGCAGCUUGUCACAGGUCCGUGUCUCAGGAACGGUUCUGCCUUGCACCUACUUAUUUAAACCAGACUCCUGCAGCCAAGAAGGCGCAUCCCCCUUCUCCAGCCUCAUGGCGUCGACCACCGAGUCCUCUCCGCCUGUCUCUUCACCUCCUCAGCCCCCUGCGCUGUCUCCACAGCCCUGAGUAGAGCUCAUCAUCUCUCCUCGUCCCUCCUCUCAACUGCUUGCAGCCUCCCUCUCCCCUGGACAGAGCCUAGUCGUCCAUCAGCAGGGAGCACAGUGGCUGGCCUUGCUGCUCUGACUUGGUCAGGACCCUGCCCGCCUCAGUGUGCAGUCAAGGUCCCGCCUCCCCGUGUCCUAAGCUCAGGAUGAUGAGCGGGGCCCGUAUUCCUGGGCUCAGACCAGCCUCCUCUCCACCCUUCCAGGAAGGGCCAGCAAUAGCAAAGUUCCCACCUCUGCACACCCCUCUCUGGAUACGUGAGGCCUUUGCAGGGGCUCAGGGGCUCACCGAGCGGAGAUGGCUGGUCCUUGGAGGCGGCACUGUAGAGUUGCUGGUGGGUUCCCACUGCGCGGACUCACUCCACCAGGGAGAAAUCUCACUUACCUGCACCACAGGCUCUAAAUGCUGCCUAAGAGCAAGGGCCAAGCUUUCUGAUCUUCCUCCCCGGGGCCUUCGCAAGCCAGCUCACAGAGUGCCUCUGGGGUCUGCAAGCAUUAUUGAAGCCUCUGUCGCCUGCACUGAAGUCAUUGUCUAUACCUGUUCCCCCACUAGACCUGAGAGAGACCGCCGUGCUCUUCUUGCGGAGUUGAGCACAGUGACCCCACACCGCACAUGGUGCUGUUUGCUAACCACAGAUAGUUACUGCCAGUUCAUGCCCCAAGAGCCCCUUGCAAGUCCACGACAUUAAGACUCACGUGUCCACCUGUUUAAGCAUGAAGAUUCUUAGUCUGCUUGGAGCUUAUAGUUACCAGAUAUGAUGAUGACCAGAGCCAAAUCCCCACAACCCCUGUGAGAAGAGGCACCAGCCGGCAUUGUUACUUCUGGAAGCUUCUUUCUCAAACUGGUCAUUUAUGAAAACGUCUCUGGCACUUGGGUCAUAUCACAGCUUGGUCUCUCCUUUCCUUCCUUGUUGGCUCUAAAGCCAUUGGCAUGCACAGGACACUCAUCUGCGCUGGGUGAGGCACUCUAUUUUGUGUAAAAACAGUCUUGUUCAACCCAACUAGACCUUUAAACAACUUUGGCAAUCUCAUACUCAGGCACGAGUGUACAAUAAACCCUAGACCUUGUCAUUUGUUUGGUCUUUCUAUUCAGCCCACAUUCAAUCAAGGUCAAGGGGAAUCCAUUCCAAGACCAAGUCUGCAAACCUUUACACAAUCACAUACAGCAGAUCGAACAGAAAUGUGUACUUGGAAAUGAAUUUUAACCUUUUAUCUCUAAACUGCAGAUUGCAAACCAGGGACCCGAAUGCCAGCUUUGCCUAGAAGACAUUUAUUUUGCAAUAGCGCACUAAAAUCGUUGAACUCGAUGCCUUUAAGAUGGACGCUUCUUCCUUCUUUGCCUCAGGCCCCAGCUGCCCAGUUUGCUCAUCCCUCCCCGGCCCUGCUCGCCCACGAGUGCUCAGCUCUUGAAGCCUUUUGAGCCUGUGGCUCCACCUAGACCAAGUGUUCUUGUGAGCUCCCAGAGGACCCCAGGGAUGGAGCCUGGGUGGUCCCUGAGACUAGCAGAGUGGCUGUCUGACUGCGGAGACAUUUCCUUGCAAACACAUUUCCGUCUCACUUUGCCCACUUUGGAAUUCUUGGCCCCGGGAUCCCAAGGAUGAGGAGGUUCACGGUCAGGGAGGUACCAGGAGGGGCACCCGAGAAGGCCCAUGCUGGUGCCACUUCUCUGAAAACAAACAAUGGGUUUGGGUGGGGUUCGAGCAAAAGCUCCUGCCAAACGAGGAAGUUCUGAGAGUGCCGUGAGCCCAGCAGACGGUUCCUGUAUUUUCACAGCCAAUGAAAACCAGCUGCUGCAGCAAAGGCUGCUGUGUCCCCCGCCCCCCGCCCCCCAGCUAUCUUUAGCCCUGUUCUCUGCCACGCUGGCAGAAGCUCCCCUGCGAAAUGGCAGGCAACAGGCUGCAUGUGCUCAGGGUGGAAUGCAGCAGCUGAAGGGCUUCCAGGGCCAGCGAGCUUCCUUAGAAGGCAUGAGAACAGGGAUGGAAUGGCUAGGGGAUAAGGGCAGGGGACACGUGUCUGUCCUUGGGAUCUCCAGGGACAAGCAAAUGUGUGAGAACCUGCCUGUGAACAUGCUCACAGGAAGGAGAGAUUAUCCUGAAACUCCAGGAAAGGCAAGAAUUCAAGCUGAUAAUUAUAAUGCACUCUGGUCACUGGGGAAAGACUGUCCUGUGUGGUUCAUUUGUGGCAGGGACCCUGAGCCUCUCACAUAAACUCCCUGCAGACACUCCUUCACAAAUCAAAGCUUUUGGCCCGUUGGUUACAGCCCGAUGCUAAACAGACCCAGUCCUGGAUGCAGGCUCUCCCAGGGCAGCCUCCCAGAGAAAAGCAGUUCCCUGAAUAUUGUCUAAAACUGAACAGAAUAGAUUAGAAUGUAAUUAGAAUACAAUUUAAUUUGGGACCUUGAUCCUGAAUAAUAUAAAGAAUGCAUUAGUUGCUGCUUCUGGAAAGGCCAGAUAUUUCGUUUUUUACCCUGCAGUUGGGUCUCGCCACGAGCAGCAUCAGCUCCCUCGAUGAAGGGGAAGCCGGCAGACUGGUGAGCCUCUGGAUGAAGACCAGGCACGCUGUCGCCAAGGUCCUCUUUUCAUUCCAGAAAAACAAAGAUAGAGACAUUUUUGAGGUCUUCCUGCACAGCCCUAAGCUCAUGCACAGCCAUUACGCCCUCCAAACACUGUCAUGGGUCACAAGCAUUCGCUCUGGCCCAGGGAUUAACCAAGACCACCAGGAAGUGAAGAAGGUGGGACUGGGUGUGACCUGGGGUGCGGGGGUUCAGCGAGGUCGGUUGAGAGCCUCCCCAAGAACCGGCUUUCCUGGCUCACAGACAGGGAGCCACAGUCAAUUCUCAAUGUCAUUAAGUCCCAUUAGUUCAAGUGCCUGCUUUUGACAAACUAUACAGCUUUGUUUCUGUGGUUUUGCUCUUUCUUUAUAAAUUAUCGAGAGUGUCUUGGGAAGAAUGAAGCACGUGCCCUGGAGGAGCCAUGUGUGGGGUGUUAAGUGACACAAGAGUGUGCGCCCUGGGUGCAUAAUCAGAACCCCGCGGGUGCAGCAGGGGCUGCAGUGAGCCCUGCCUCCUCUCCAGAGCCCCUCUGACCUGGGGGGAAGGCUGUCCAUCCUGCUGGUGAUUGGUUUGGGAAAGACCAUCUGAUCUAAUUCCAACCAUCAGAAUGCCACGUCGCUGCUUCAAGCUUCCAGUGGCUUCCUAUCAUGGUGGAGUAGGAUCCAGCUCCUUCCAUGACUGGAAGACUUACGGAAUCUGGCUGGGCCAUUCCUCACCACCAGCUCCCUCUUGCCUUUUGAAUUUUAGUUUAUAAAUCAACUCAAAAAUUCUUGCCUUCACCCCCAAAGCUCAUCAGACUCUGCUGCAGGGUGUGUCCUUGUUUACUGAGGGCUCUGUAGCUCGCCAUCCAUGCCUUGCCACGGGGACUCAGGGGAGCAGGGGAUGUGGCUCUUGCCGCUGCGCCCAGGGUCUUGUCUGCUACCUGGCUUGUGUUAGGCGUUUGCUGGGUGAGGGAUUGAAUGGGCUAGUGUGCACCAGCCCGAGCUCCAGCUUGUGAGUGGCUGUAACUGUCCCGAAUUAACAGACGGGAGAAUUUUCCUCACAGGGACGUUGAAUGACUGGCAGCAGCAACUGGAGCCUCAAAACUGGUUUCAGCUCUAAAACUGAAGAGCAACAGAGAGCUAGUCACCCAGAGCCACCACCAAGAUUCAGGUACACACACGUCCCAGCCUCCGUCACUCCUGCAGGAGUCCCUGGACUACUGGACUCUGGGCGGAUCCUUUACCAAAGGAAUUCCCCAACUCCAUCCGUGGAGUCCUGUGCUACAACAUCCUCUGGGAAGAGCUCAGAACAUCUGCUCAGUCAUCUGCUCAGUAGAGAAAUCAGAAGUGGACGUUGAAGUCUUCCUGGCCACCCUCCUCGGGACAACCUCUCACGUCACUUGGUUUUCUCUCCACUUCCAGCUCUAUGGGCUCAGGUCCAAACUGCCUGGUCGUCAGUGCUGUGUAUGGCUUCUCCUCAGCCCACCUGGGUCACCUGGACUUCUGGUGGAUGGCUCCAGGUCUCUACCCCAGUGACCCACCUUGCUCUGCUCCAGGGUCCAUCCCUCCCACAGUGUGUACAGGGGACCCCAGAAAUGAGGAACUUAAUACAUGUAAACCCCCAACCAAGGAGAGACAAGAGUCACUAGAUAAGCAUCAGUUUCUAGUUCCUCAUGGCACUGUCCCCGGCUCCCCUGUGGUUCCCCAGAGUGACCGAGCUCUGGGUGCUGACAGUGGUCACUUGCUCUAAAUUAACACACUUGUGUUGACCUUCUCACUUCUCUGCCUUGCUUCUCCAUGGUCUCCUUGUGUGUCCCUCACACCUUCCCAAAGAACUACCUGCAACCCAAACAGGACCAGGGGCCGCUUGUGGGAGACCCACACUCAGAGUGGGUUACAAGUGACCAUUGGGCCUCCUGACCCAGAGGUAGCCGCCCUCAUCUGCAUCCUCAGGAGCAGGUCUCCUUGCCGGGGCACACAGGCUUCGCUGGCUUACUGUUUCUGUUUUCAUUACCUCCUGGAAAAGUCGUGCAGACGUGGGAACCGAUAUUUCUCUUGAAAGCGGAUGUGCACUGCGGGUCCCCCUGCAGGUGCCCGAGUACAUUACACUAGUGACUUUGCAAGAGCAACAUGGAGGUUUCCAGACACGCCUGACUGGGCAGGAAAACACGUCCCGGUCUCCAGGCUGCGAGUUACCUGGAGAGCAUCUUCUGUGUACACUAUUCCCUACCACCCACCACAUACAUGUCCUUCAGACCACAGAACUUGAAACACUCCUUCUCUGGUGUUUUGCUCUUCAACAACCUUGUGUCCACCAUGUGAGUCGCUGAACCAGGACACCAUGAGGAGGGGUCCCUGAAGCCACGGGCUCCACAUGGGCCUCUGAAGGCGGGUCCACACUGGCCUGUGACUCCAAGCACACAGGGAAGCCCUGGGAGUCCAGUGGGCCUCAGAGCAACUCGCCACCUCACAUUCAGCCCAAGGGAGGGUGGGAGGCCAGCAGCUUCAAGCCUCGUACCGCAAAUAAACUGAGAAGAGCAGACCAGAGGGCCGCACCUGGCCUGGGCCCAGCAGCCCAGCACCACCGCCAGCUCUCCACUUCCCCAGAAGCCGCACCCAGCGAGGUGGGACCCUGAGAGCCUGGCUCCCGGGGAGCAGCAGGGUCCAGCUGGAACUCCAACACGGGAAAGUUGGCAGGAAAAUACGAACCAUCCCCUAAAUAUGAAUCACCACCGGGAAGGAAAUUUAAGAUGGAUCUCAAGAGUUCAUGAUAUAGGCUUCCUACAAAGCCUGGCCCUGGCUCACAAGGGCCGUGAUUUCUUUUCAAUUAUAUAGAAAGUUGUAAAGAAGAAUGAAAAGCAGAAAGCAGCUGGGCGGCAGGAUGUAGACGGGAGGACUAGGAGGGCCAGUGGCAGAGGCCUUGUGACGGCCUGGACGGGGGCCAGGACUCUCAGCUUCUCCAAGGUCCAAGCCAGAGCUCCUCAGGAUAAUAAGAAAGGGACAGGAACGCUUACAAUGAAGGGACAGGGCCAGAGAGACACUCGCCGUCCCCAAGACAGGAACAGAAGCUCUUGGGAAGGGGCUGAGGAGGGUGUGCUUUCUCCCAGGAGGCUGGUUCAGAUCCAGGCUCCAGAGGGACGUCUGAAACCUCUAGAGACCCAUGCUGAGGGUCCCUCGGGAACCAGCAUGCCCUGGAAGCUCGGGGAGAGCUGCUGGCUCACGGCACACCCACCAGGUCAGGAACUGGACCACCUGACCCUGUUUCAUCAUCUGUAAAACUGGGCUAAUGACUGCCAGUCAGCCGCAGCUCGUGAGAAACGUGUGCAGUGCCUGGUGCAGAGACUCCAGUGCUGCUGGGCAAAGAGGACGUGUGUUCGCAGAGGCCGCCGGCUGCCGGAACGCCCAGCACCUCAACGCCACAGACCAACACAAAUGUAAAACCCACAGUAGGUGUUCCUUAUUGGCCAGCGCCUUCUCCAUGGCAGGCCAAGGCUGCCCCAGAGAGUGCUGGGUGGAUGUUAGGGUCAGGGACAGGCCAGAGGUCAAGGAAGGACAUGGAGUCCUCCACAUGGUCUGGCAGAGGAUGGGACUUGGAGAGAGAGCAGCAAGCUGUCAGGAGUGCGGACUGCAGGGCUCAGAUCACACCCCACUGAGCCCUAGGCUGGACAGCUGGCCUGACAAAGGGUUGGGCUCCAUUUGCUUUGUGGGAAUAAAACUGCACGGGAAAAGCACGUCAACCGGUGUGUGUGUGGGACCGAAGCGCAGCCAGGGCCCCCGCUCACCACCCGUCCUCUGUGGUCACUCAUUCUGGUCUCCCCGGAACUUCUGCAACAGCUUGUGGUGCCCCUGCUUCUGCCCGGGACCUUGGCACCUUGUCCACACCCAGCAGCCGGGGCGUCCUUAGCACUCACAGCCCCAUGGGACGGAGCCCGGAGCAGCUCCCUGUCGGCUGAGCAGGCCAGUCUGCUGGCACCCCACCACCCCUGGCCCCAGCCUGUCUCCCCGCUGAGGCACCUCGCUGCCGGGUCCCUCUGCCCAGAGCUGCCAGGCCUCCUUCCUCUGCUCGGUCAAAGCCACCUUCUCAACGAGGCCUGUGUGAUUCCCUGCUGAGGUCUGGUGGCACAGUGGUGACUGUCCCCACUCAGUGCUGCCAACCCGUUCCCUGUCACUUCCUGUCCCCACAACCCUCGUCAUCUUCCAUAAAGCCUGCCCUUUGCUCAUGGGUCCUGUUCACUGGGUCUCGUCUUCCUCCUGCUGGGGCUGGGGUCCAGGUCUGGUGUCCUGACCGACUCAUCCCACAGCCCAGAGCAGCACACAGCCGGCGCUCAGCCAUCUGUGCACCGUUGGACUUUUGGACAAAAUGGAAUCACGUGGCUAUGGAGUCUUCACACAGAGUUUGGAAUCUGGAGCAGCUGAACCCACACCUGCCUUCAACUCCAUUAGAACUCGCCCUGGGGUACAAGGCAGGUUGGGUGAUGGGCUAGAUACACCUCUGGAAGGGGAGACAUGGCAGCUGGCUGCAGGCAGGAGCAUGCUCUGGGGCCAGAGGGCUUCUUGGGGCCUCAGUUCUCCCUCUGCAGACUGAGGCUCUGCCGUCUGAGCAUCCCUGGCUGGUCCAGAGCAUCUGGUCCUGGUUGGGAGAGCAUCCCCACCUUGGGCCCACCAGUGCCGAGGGUAUAAGCAGAAGGGGAGACCGAGGGCCAGGGAAGGCUGGGUGACCGUCCUUCUCGGCUGCCUGCCCAGCCCCACAGGGGCCUCUGCAUUCUGCCUGGCUCCCCCUGUUGCCCAGUCCCAUGAGAACUCCACAUGUGCACGCUUGCUAACCUUGCAACUGACGCUGCAGAACCCAGGGACGAGUGACCGAAUGGCCCAGUGCAGCUUGCAGCACAGAUGGUGAACCAACCUACACGGGUGAUCCCAGGCUCUGCCACAAUGUCCCAUGGCAAACCCAGCAACAGGGACCGGUGGCCUCUGCAUCCCACCCCUGCUGCCAAGCCAGCACCCGCCCUGCCUCAAACCCCAGGAUCUUCAAACCUGGCCAUU